UUUGUUACAGCAUUUGGAACCCAGCAGUGUUAUAAAUGAAGGCCUAAGUUCAUCGGCAACAUCAGGAACGUUUUUAGUUGAGGAUGGUCCUUAUUACUAUUGCAUGCUUGAAAUCCUACUUGGAAGACUAUCUGGAUCUCUAUAUAGCCAGGCCUUGAAAAAGAUAUCAAAG